GCAUUCGUGGCCUAGUGGUUAGAGCGUCCACCUCGGAUGCGGGAGGUCAUGGGUUCGAUCCCCAGUCGAGUGAUACCA